rnacentral:rRNA from 1 species
GCAUAACGCGAAGAACCUUACCUAGGCUUGACAUGCACUGUGUCUCCGGUGAAAGCCGGAUAGUGUAGCAAUACACGCUUUGCACAGGUGCUGCAUGGCUGUCGUCAGCUCGUGUCGUGAGAUGUUGGGUUAAGUCUUGCAACGAGCGUAACCCCUGUGAUUUGUUGCCACCGGAGCAAUCCGAGCACUCGAAUCAGACUGCCCAGAUCAACUGGGAGGAAGGUGGGGAUGACGUCAAGUCCGUAUGGCCCUUACGCCUAGGGCUGCACACGUACUACAAUGCCCAGUACAAUGUGAACCGAUACCGCGAGGUGGAGGAAAUCAAUAAAACUGGGCCCAGUUCAGAUUGUAGGCUGCAACUCGCCUACAUGAAGUCGGAAUCGCUAGUAAUGGCGCAUCAGCAACGGCGCCGUGAAUACGUUCCCGGGUCUUGUACACACCGA